rnacentral:rRNA from 1 species
CCUACGGGAGGCAGCAGUAGGGAAUCUUCCACAAUGGGCGAAAGCCUGACGCAGCGACGCCGCGUGGAGGAUGAAGGCCUUCGGGUUGUAAACUCCUGUUAGAGGGGAAGAAGCCCCGCAAGGGGUUGACGGUACCCUCAGAGGAAGCCCCGGCUAACUACGUGCCAGCAGCCGCGGUAAUACGUAGGGGGCAAGCGUUACUCGGAAUUACUGGGCGUAAAGGGUGUGUAGGCGGCCGAGCAAGUCGAAGAUGAAAUCCCAGGGCGCAACCCUGGAAUUGCCUGCGAUACUGCUUGGCUGGAGGGUAGUGGAGGAGAGCGGAAUUCCCGGUGGAGGGGUAAAAUGCGUAGAUAUCGGGAGGAACACCAGAGGCGAAGGCGGCUCUCUAUGCUACUCCUGACGCUGAGGCACGAAAGCUAGGGGAGCAAACGGGAUUAGAUACCCUUGUAGU